UACAGAGGUGGCAAGCGUUGUUCGGAAUUACUGGGCGUAAAGGGCGCGUAGGCGGCCAUCUAAGUCAGACGUGAAAUCCCCCGGCUUAACCUGGGAACUGCGUCCGAUACUGGUUGGCUUGAAUCCGGGAGAGGGAUGUGGAAUUCCAGGUGUAGCGGUGAAAUGCGUAGAUAUCUGGAGGAACACCGGUGGCGAAGGCGACAUCCUGGACCGGUAUUGACGCUGAGGCGCGAAAGCCAGGGGAGCAAACGGG
rnacentral:rRNA from 1 species